AGAGUUUGAUCCUGGCUCAGAUUGAAGGCUGGGGGAAUGCUUUACACAUGCAAGUCGAACGGCAGCACUGGGGCAACCCUGGUGGCGAGUGGCGAACGGGUGAGUAACACAUCGGAACGUGCCCAGUCGUGGGGGAUAACGUAGCGAAAGCUACGCUAAUACCGCAUACGAACUCUGGUUGAAAGCGGGGGACCUGUAAGGGCCUCGCGCGAUUGGAGCGGCCGAUGGCAGAUUAGGUAGUUGGUGGGGUAAAGGCUCACCAAGCCGACGAUCUGUAGCUGGUCUGAGAGGACGACCAGCCACACUGGGACUGAGACACGGCCCAGACUCCUACGGGAGGCAGCAGUGGGGAAUUUUGGACAAUGGGCGCAAGCCUGAUCCACCCAUUCCCGCGUGCGGAUGAAGGCCCUCGGGUUGGAAAACUGCUUUUGGAAGGAACGAAAAGCCCGCUUUCUAAUACAGAGCGGUCAUGGACGGUACCGUCAAAAUAAAGCACCGGCUAACUACGUUGCCAGCAGGCGGCGGUAAUACGUUAGGGUGGCAAGCGGUUAAUUCGGAAUUACUGGGGCGUAAAGCGGUGCGGCAGGCGGGUUAUGGUAAAGACACGGUGUGUAAAUUCCCGGGCUUAACGUUGGGAAACUGCAUUUUGUGAUCGGCAUGACUUAGAUGUACGGGUUAAAGCGGGAUGGGAAUUCCGCCGUUAAGCAAUGCAAAUUGCGUAGAAUGUCGCGGAGAGAAACCCCGAUUGGGCGAAGGGCUAUCCCCCCUGAGACCCUGUACUGGACCGGUUCAGUGCAGCAAAAACGCUGGGGGAGCAGAAAACAGGAAUUUAGAUAUCGCUGUGAUAGACUCCACGCCCCCCUAAACGAGAUAUGGUCCACGUGGGUGUGUGGGAGGUCUCACUGACUGCAGUACGAAGCUAACGCGUGAAGUGACGCCUGGGGAGUACGCCGCAAGUUGAACUCAAAGAUUGACGGGGACCCGCACAAGCGUGGAUGAUGUGUUUUAAUUCAAUGCAACGCGAAAAACCUUACCUACCCUUGACAUGUCUGGAAUUUUGCAGAGAUGUGAAAGUGCCCGAAAGGGAGCCAGAACACAGGUGCUGCAUGGCUGUCGUCAGCUCGUGUCGUGAGAUGCUUGGGUUAAGUCCCGCAACGAGCGCAACCCUUGUCAUUAGUUGCUACGAAAGGGCACUCUAAUGAGACUGCCGGUGACAAACCGGAGGAAGGUGGGGAUGACGUCAAGUCCUCAUGGCCCUUAUGGGUAGCAUUACACACGUCAUACAAUGGCUGGUACAGAGGGUUGCCAACCCGCGAGGGGGAGCCAAUCCCAUAAAACCAGUCGUAGUCCGGAUCGCAGUCUGCAACUCGACUGCGUGAAGUCGGAAUCGCUAGUAAUCGCGGAUCAGCAUGUCGCGGUGAAUACGUUCCCGGGUCUUGUACACACCGCCCGUCACACCAUGGGAGCGGGUUCUGCCAGAAGUAGUUAGCCUAACCGCAAGGAGGGCGAUUACCACGGCAGGGUUCGUGACUGGGGUGAAGUCGUAACAAGGUAACC
rnacentral:rRNA from 1 species